UUGGGAGCUCUCCCAUAUGGUCGACCUGCAGGCGGCCGCGAAUUCACUAGUGAUUACCGCGGCUGCUGGCACGUAGUUGGCCGGGGCUUCUUCUGCAGGUACCGUCAAUUUCGUCCCUGCUGAAAGCGGUUUACAACCCGAAGGCCUUCAUCCCGCACGCGGCGUCGCUGCGUCAGGCUUGCGCCCAUUGUCCAAUAUUCCCCACUGCUGCCUCCCGUAGGAGUCUGGGCCGUGUCUCAGUCCCAGUGAGGCUGAUCAUCCUCUCAGACCAGCUACUGAUCGUCGCCUUGGUAGGCUUUUACCCCACCAACUAGCUAAUCAGGCAUCGGCCGCUCCUCUCGCGCAAGGCCCUUGCGGGUCCCCUGCUUUCCUCUUACGAGCUCAUGCGGUAUUAGCCAGUCUUUCGACUGGUUAUCCCCCACAAGAGGACACGUUCCGAUGCAUUACUCACCCGUUCGCCGCUCGCCGCCAGGGUUGCCCCCGCGCUGCCGCUCGACUUGCAUGUGUAAGGCAUGCCGCCAGCGUUCAAUCUGAGCCAUGAUCAAACUCUAAUCGAAUUCCCGCGGCCGCCAUGGC
rnacentral:rRNA from 1 species